AACGAACGCUGGCGGCAUGCCUAACACAUGCAAGUCGAACGAGACCUUCGGGUGUAGUGGCGCACGGGUGCGUAACGCGUGGGAACCUGCCUUUAGGUUCGGAAUAACUCAGAGAAAUUUGAGCUAAUACCGGAUGAUGUCUUCGGACCAAAGAUUUAUUGCCUUGAGAUGGGCCCGCGUUGGAUUAGCUAGUUGGUGGGGUAAAGGCCUACCAAGGCGACGAUCCCUAGCUGGUCUGAGAGGCUGAUCAGCCACCCUGGGACUGAGACACGGCCCAGACUCCUACGCGAGGCAGCAGUGGGGAAUAUUGGACAAUGGGCGAAGUCAUGAUCCAGCACUGCCGCGUGAGUGCUGAAGGCCUUAGGGUUGUAAAGCUCUUUUACCCGAGCUGAUAAUGACAGUAUCGGGAGAAUAAGCCCCGGCUAACUCCGUG
rnacentral:rRNA from 1 species